CGACAAGGCGAAUACGUAAGUAUUUAUCGCAGAUAUUGAUUUACAAGGAUCAGAAGCAGUCUUUUUUUACUAAUUAUAUGACUGAGAUUUCCAUUUUCUAUUAAAUUUUUGAAAAUAUAUUUGCCAAAAAUAAUAAGACAAUUUUUGUCGAGAAGAGAACGUAAGACAUUUCAUGUAAAAGAGGAACUGUUAUUAUAAACUUGUUUGCAUUCAUUUGACUGAUUAAUGACUUGAAAGGGUGGAAGGAAUCGUUUUUGUUUCACAUCACAAACAAAUAUCCUGCAGCAGAAAUAUAGGGCAAUCUUUGCACAUUGUUAAAUAUGUAUUUUGCGAAACAAGAUUUUUUUGAUGGAUGGUGAAUUUAAUGGAGUAAAUAAUAAUGUCAUGAUGGAUGGACACAUCAAAUUAAGUACACGUCUAGUCAUAAUUUUUUCAUGUAACUUGAAAUUCAAGAUUUUUUGCAAUAAACUUACUUUAAAUAUUG